rnacentral:rRNA from 1 species
AUUGAACGCUGGCGGCAUGCCUUACACAUGCAAGUCGAACGGUAACAGGUCUUCGGAUGCUGACGAGUGGCGAACGGGUGAGUAAUACAUCGGAACGUGCCCGAGAGUGGGGGAUAACGAAGCGAAAGCUUUGCUAAUACCGCAUACGAUCUCAGGAUGAAAGCAGGGGACCGCAAGGCCUUGCGCUCACGGAGCGGCCGAUGGCAGAUUAGGUAGUUGGUGGGAUAAAAGCUUACCAAGCCGACGAUCUGUAGCUGGUCUGAGAGGACGACCAGCCACACUGGGACUGAGACACGGCCCAGACUCCUACGGGAGGCAGCAGUGGGGAAUUUUGGGCAAUGGGCGCAAGCCUGAUCCAGCCAUGCCGCGUGCAGGAUGAAGGCCUUCGGGUUGUAAACUGCUUUUGUACGGAACGAAAAGACUCUGGUUAAUACCUGGGGUCCAUGACGGUACCGUAAGAAUAAGCACCGGCUAACUACGUGCCAGCAGCCGCAGUAAAAC